AAACCGUUCAGGGGUAAACCUGAGAAACCCAAAAGAUCGAAUGGGGAGAUUCAUCGACGACGAGGCUGGCUUCCGUUGGUGCGCAGAUACCCCGAACUGUGGGCCUUCGUGGUUCCAGUGCGAGGGUACACCACCUUCGGCAAAUGUUCCGGUUACGUAAUCGUGCACUUCUCCCUUAGUAGAACGUCGCGACCCGUUGCGUGUCGGUCUACGGCUCGUGUUGUUGCCUGUCGUGUCGCUACGUGCGCACACGACAGACGCUCGAUCGCCUGGCCGGCUGCGCGACGGUACUCUGACGGUAUCGGGCCGCAACCAAUCCAUUAUUGAAUCUUUGUGCGUCAGGCCCGCCGCAAGCUCGGUUAGUUUUACCCGGAGGUACGGACCUGGUGCCGGCUCCGGGCCUAACCAGCUGUUAGCAGGCGGUGUCCUCGGACUGGCCAAGCUUUAAAUUACCGGUCAGCGACGCUACUGCUUUGGGUACUCUCAGGACCCGUCUUGAAACACGGACCAAGGAGUCUAACAUGUGCGCGAGUCAUUGGGACAUGUAAACCUAAAGGCACAAUGAAAGUGAAGGUCGUAUCUUUGCGUCGACCAAGGGAGGAUGGGCCGCGUUACGAUGCGGCCUCGCACUCCCGGGGCGUCUCGUUCUCAUUGCGAGAAGAGGCGCACCCAGAGCGUACACGUUGGGACCCGAAAGAUGGUGAACUAUGCCUGGUCAGGACGAAGUCAGGGGAAACCCUGAUGGAGGUCCGUAGCGAUUCUGACGUGCAAAUCGAUCGUCGGAACUGGGUAUAGGGGCGAAAGACUAAUCGAACCAUCUAGUAGCUGGUUCCCUCCGAAGUUUCCCUCAGGAUAGCUGGCACUUAUUUGUUCUCUUUGGUGAACGUUUGUGAGUCUCAUCUGGUAAAGCGAAUGAUUAGAGGCCUUGGGGCCGAAACGACCUCAACCUAUUCUCAAACUUUAAAUGGGUGAGAUCUCUGGCUUGCUUGGAUCAAUGAAGCCACGAGAUUUAUAUAUUUGGAUCAGAGUGCCAAGUGGGCCAAUUUUGGUAAGCAGAACUGGCGCUGUGGGAUGAACCAAACGCAGAGUUAAGGCGCCUAAGUCGACGCUUAUGGGAUACCAUGAAAGGCGUUGGUUGCUUAAGACAGCAGGACGGUGGCCAUGGAAGUCGGAA
rnacentral:rRNA from 1 species